rnacentral:rRNA from 1 species
ACGGGUGAGUAACGCGUGGGAAUCUACCGUGCCCUGCGGAAUAGCUCCGGGAAACUGGAAUUAAUACCGCAUACGUCCUACGGGGGAAAGAUUUAUCGGGGUAUGAUGAGCCCGCGUUGGAUUAGCUAGUUGGUGGGGUAAAGGCCUACCAAGGCGACGAUCCAUAGCUGGUCUGAGAGGAUGAUCAGCCACAUUGGGACUGAGACACGGCCCAAACUCCUACGGGAGGCAGCAGUGGGGAAUAUUGGACAAUGGGCGCAAGCCUGAUCCAGCCAUGCCGCGUGAGUGAUGAAGGCCUUAGGGUUGUAAAGCUCUUUCACCGGAGAAGAUAAUGACGGUAUCCGGAGAAGAAGCCCCGGCUAACUUCGUGCCAGCAGCCGCGGUAAUACGAAGGGGGCUAGCGUUGUUCGGAAUUACUGGGCGUAAAGCGCACGUAGGUGGAUAUUUAAGUCAGGGGUGAAAUCCCAGAGCUCAACUCUGGAACUGCCUUUGAUACUGGGUAUCUUGAGUAUGGAAGAGGUAAGUGGAAUUCCGAGUGUAGAGGUGAAAUUCGUAGA